rnacentral:rRNA from 1 species
GAUGAACGCUAGCUACAGGCUUAACACAUGCAAGUCGAGGGGCAGCAUGAACUUAGCUUGCUAAGUUUGAUGGCGACCGGCGCACGGGUGAGUAACACGUAUCCAACCUGCCGAUGACUCGGGGAUAGCCUUUCGAAAGAAAGAUUAAUACCCGAUGGCAUAAUUCUUCCGCAUGGUAGAACUAUUAAAGAAUUUCGGUCAUCGAUGGGGAUGCGUUCCAUUAGGUUGUUGGCGGGGUAACGGCCCACCAAGCCUUCGAUGGAUAGGGGUUCUGAGAGGAAGGUCCCCCACAUUGGAACUGAGACACGGUCCAAACUCCUACGGGAGGCAGCAGUGAGGAAUAUUGGUCAAUGGACGAGAGUCUGAACCAGCCAAGUAGCGUGAAGGAUGACUGCCCUAUGGGUUGUAAACUUCUUUUAUACGGGAAUAAAGUGAGGCACGUGUGCCUUUUUGUAUGUACCGUAUGAAUAAGGAUCGGCUAAACUCCGUGC